rfam:Cavia porcellus supercont2_7 genomic scaffold, whole genome shotgun sequence.
GGGGAUUUAGCUCAGUGGUGUAAGCACCUGCCUUGCAAUCAGGCGGUUGUGAGUUCAAUCCCCG